UCCCAGGUGGUCUAGUGGCUAAGACUCUGAGCUUCAAUACAGGCGGCCCAGGUUUGAUCCCUGGUCAGGGAA
rnacentral:tRNA from 1 species